rnacentral:lncRNA from 1 species
UGGAAGAGGCAACCUUCUAGUGAACUGUUCCUCUGGGCAGUGUUGGGCCUUAUUCGUCUGGAUACUGAGGCCUAGUGGGGAAGCCUGAGUCUUUGCUCGAGUUUAGAGACCUGUCUUGUUCACUUCCAUACUGGAGUGGCUCAGCACAACCUACUUAAGCCUGCCUUUGCCUAGCUACCACUGAUGUAGAAUAACUUUAUUGGCCCUGUCAGUCACCCCAUACCCUCCAUCACCCUUCCCCGGCCCCUACCUCAUCUCACCUCACCAAAAAUCCCCACCUCCUUCCUCAACCCUAUAUAAACAAAAGACUGAUGCAAUAAAAUGAGUUCCUGCUUUGAUAGACUCCCAGCCCCUGGCAUGUUUGUUUUGGGCCACUCAGCCUUGGAGGGACUAGGCUAGACUGGGUUCUCUCCUCUCACCUGGACUCGCUAGCAGAUAGCUGACAGGGCUGGACAUAGGGCUCAGUGGGAGAGUGCUAAUCUAGUAUGAUAAAACUUUGAGUACAGCUUUCAUCAACACGUGUACAUGCAUGCACAUACGCACACAUUCACACACACAUUCACACACAUGCAUGCAUACAUUCACACAUUUGCAUACACGUGUGUGCAUACACAUUACAAAGAAACAUGUUAGGUCAGAUAAGCAAUUUAAAGUUGGAGACAUGCUAAACACAUGACUACAAACAUACAUUGCAUCUCAAUGUGUUUUAGGUAGAGGCUUCUCCUCCAGCCUAUAGAAUAAUACACACACGGACAGUACCAUUAUCUUACCUUAGUAUUCGGCUGGUUUUGAAAAGCAAUAAACACCAGUCCUGUAUUUUACCUUUUGUGAGAGUUUGGAUGAAUAUGGCCCCAUAGGUCUGUAGGGAGUAGCACCAUUAGGAGGUAUGGUGCUGUUGGUGUUGGUGUGGCCUUGUUGGAGGAAAUGUGUCACUUGGGGUAGGCUUCGAGGGUUAAGGAGCUCAAGCCAGGCCCAGUGACUGACUGUCUUUUGCUGCUGCCUAUGGAUCCAGAUGUAGAACUCUCAGCUACCUCUCCAGCACCAUGUCUGCCUGUGUACCACCAUGCUUCUGACCAUGACCGUAAUAGACUAAACCUCUGAACCAUAAGCCAACCUCAGUUAAGUAUUUUCCUUUAUAAGAGUUGACAUGGUUAUGGUGUCUAUUCACCGCAAUGAACCCCUAACUAAGCCACCUUUCAAGAAAAGGCAUUUCUACAACUAUUUAUGUGCAGACAAGCCCAGACACAAUCAACUAGCUUUCUUUCUUCUUAACAGUCUUUUCCCUAGAGCUUCUGAAAUCUUUGCAUUUAAAAACCAGUUAACCAAGACAGGAGAGAGAAGCCCAUGGAAACUACCCAGUGUCUUAAACGCGUUCUCGCGACCGGCCAGGAAGAACGCAGCAAACCAGAAUCUUCUGCGGCAAAAGCUUUAUUGCUUACAUCUUCAGGAGCCAGAGAGCAAGAGCCAGAGCAAGAGUCAGAGCAAGAGAGAGAAAGAAAGC